GAGAAAGACAUACGGUUAUGGUGUUGGCUUGAAACCAGUUUGAGAGGGUUUGACUCCUUCCUUUCUCA
rnacentral:tRNA from 1 species